rnacentral:rRNA from 1 species
UUAAAUUGAAGAGUUUGAUCAUGGCUCAGAUUGAACGCUGGCGGCAGGCCUAACACAUGCAAGUCGAACGGUAACAGGAAACAGCUUGCUGUUUCGCUGACGAGUGGCGGACGGGUGAGUAAUGUCUGGGAAACUGCCUGAUGGAGGGGGAUAACUACUGGAAACGGUAGCUAAUACCGCAUAACGUCGCAAGACCAAAGAGGGGGACCUUCGGGCCUCUUGCC